rnacentral:rRNA from 1 species
UACGUAGGGUGCGAGCGUUGUCCGGAAUUAUUGGGCGUAAAGGGCUCGUAGGCGGUUUGUCGCGUCGGGAGUGAAAAUCAGGGCUUAACUCUGGACUGGCUUCCGAUACGGGCAGACUAGAGGUAUGCAGGGGAGAACGGAAUUCCUGGUGUAGCGGUGAAAUGCGCAGGAUAUCAGGAGGAACACCGGUGGCGAAGGCGGUUCUCUGGGCAUUACCUGACGCUGAGGAGCGAAAGUGUGGGGAGCGAACAGGAAUUAGAAAUCC